rnacentral:lncRNA from 1 species
GCAAAUGGUAACAAAUCUAGAACUACGAACAUGGCUGGCACGCAGAAUCCAUAUAGUUGUGGAUUGCUGAAUUGAUUGUCUAAGAUGAAUGCUUGCAAUUCUCUGGUAGGAGAAGGGGCUUAGGAAAAGAACAUCAAUCCAAGAAAAGGCUUCUAUAAUAGGUCAUUGUCAUCACAGAUGACUUUCACUUGAUAACUCUGUCAUCAGCCUUGAGCCUUACAGGGAGCACAGUCCAGUUGUGUUUAAUGGUUGUUGUAUCACUGGGUAUGAAGAUCACAUGACAGACCAUAUAUUGCCAUACAAGGAUUGAGGCAAGAACUAUCAGCAGGCACCAUCUUCUGCUCCUCUCAACUAGCCUAUCAUCAUCAGUAGUAUUGAAGAACUGCCUGUUCAGAAUUCUCUACAUCAAAGACACUUCUGCAAUUUAAAAAAUACCCAAGAAUCAAUGCAGGACUCCACAUGCAGAAUUGCAAAGGAAAGCGGGGAGUGUGGGUCCUUCCAGCAUCUCUCACUUCACACAGCACCUCUUUAGCAAUGACUGGUGGUGUUUUAUUGGUGGGGAUACACAUUUCUUGUUUCCCAGCCAAACAUAUAUGCACAUCUUUAUGGACACCUGCAACAACUGUGAUUGUCUAAAUAACAACACAAAGGAUAAACAGAGACCCCAGGAAUGGCAGAUAAGGCUCAGUGAAUACAAACGAGCUGACACAUUUUAUAUUUGUUUCCUGGGCUGGGUUCCUGUUCAGUUUGAACCCACAGGCAAUGUUAUGAUGGAAAAUUCCACAACUG